CAGCAGCAAGGAAAGCCCUGCACACAUUUCUAUUCAGACAACGUGCCUGCGUUCAAUGAACGAUGUCUUGGAGGAAGCGAGAGUUGAAAAGCACAGACUGUGGGAGAGAUAGAAAUGCUUCAAAACAAUAGCUACAACCCCUACACCGCAAGCAGCUGUACCUUGUGGCCGCGGAGCGGUCUGAGGAGUAGAGGAGCCCGUAGUUUUCUUCGGCCACACGGGUCUAACCUGCUGGGUGCCAGCAGCAGACGCGGCGGGAGCCUGGGGCUUUGGUCGUCGCGGGAUGCAGAAGGAGGGAUUAGCCGGCCUGUUGAAACCCGCUUGGGCCAAGUUGGACCUCGGAGUCGACUGAGUGGCGGGCAUCUCACACGGGAGACAGAGCUGAAGGGCUUCAUCAUCUGGUUUUUUUGCUUCGCACCACUGUUGCAUUAAGGUAAGAGCAGAGCCAAAAAUCCCCUCUG
rnacentral:lncRNA from 1 species